UUCCCAUACCGAACACGGAAGUUAAGCUCUCUAGCGCCGAUGGUAGUUGGGACCUUGUCCCUGUGAGAGUAGGACGUCGCCAAGCA
rnacentral:rRNA from 1 species